rnacentral:rRNA from 1 species
CAGGCCUAACACAUGCAAGUCGAGCGGUAACAUUUCUAGCUUGCUAGAAGAUGACGAGCGGCGGACGGGUGAGUAAUGCUUGGGAACAUGCCUUUAGGUGGGGGACAACCAUUGGAAACGAUGGCUAAUACCGCAUAAUGUCUACGGACCAAAGGGGGCUUCGGCUCUCGCCUUUAGAUUGGCCCAAGUGGGAUUAGCUAGUUGGUGAGGUAAUGGCUCACCAAGGCGACGAUCCCUAGCUGGUUUGAGAGGAUGAUCAGCCACACUGGAACUGAGACACGGUCCAGACUCCUACGGGAGGCAGCAGUGGGGAAUAUUGCACAAUGGGCGCAAGCCAGAUGCAGCCAUGCCGCGUGUGUGAAGAAGGCCUUCGGGUUGUAAAGCACUUUCAGUUGUGAGGAAAGGUUAGUAGUUAAUACCUACUAGCUGUGACGUUAGCAACAGAAGAAGCACCGGCUAACUCCGUGCCAGCAGCCGCGGUAAUACGGAGGGUGCGAGCGUUAAUCGGAAUUACUGGGCGUAAAGCGUACGCAGGCGGUUUGUUAAGCGAGAUGUGAAAGCCCCGGGCUCAACCUGGGAACUGCAUUUCGAACUGGCAAACUAGAGUGUGAUAGAGGGUGGUAGAAUUUCAGGUGUAGCGGUGAAAUGCGUAGAGAUCUGAAGGAAUACCGAUGGCGAAGGCAGCCACCUGGGUCAACACUGACGCUCAUGUACGAAAGCGUGGGGAGC